CAGUCCACACAGUCGUUUCUGGAGGUGCAGUCCACGCAGUCGUUUCUGGAGGUGCAGUCCACACAGUCGUUUCUGGAAGUGUAGUCCACACAGUCGUUUCUGGAGGUGCAGUCCACACAGUCGUUUCUGGAGGUGCUGUCCACGCAGUCGUUUCUGGAGAUGGUACAAGAGAAAAUAACAAAGUACAUGAGCCACUUCCAGUCCAGUAACAGCACAGCUACAUGACAACAGCCACAAAUCCUAUCACAAAGGUUUGGAGUGAGACUGUAGAACCCGGAUCUGUCCAACUGAGAAUGCACAUGUGAAUAAAAAUAGAAAAUCUAAUUUCAUAGAGAAACUGUCGCACAAUACCUUGCACUCCAUGCGUGGCGAGCACGCUGCAAAGAACCAACAGACUCCACAUGGUGAAUGGAUUUGCUGUUCAACCUGUCCCAAAUGCUGAACAUGACAGCUUAAAUACCCAGCAGCCCUCACUGAAACUUGGGUGCAGCACCAAUAAAGUGUCUGAUGUCACCAAAUGAAAUUGAUAAAUCACUCAGUAAAUGUGGAUGAGAAAAAACA